rnacentral:rRNA from 1 species
AUGAACGCUAGCUACAGGCUUAACACAUGCAAGUCGAGGGGCAGCAGGAUCUAGCAAUAGAUUGCUGGCGACCGGCGCACGGGUGAGUAACACGUAUCCAACCUGCCGAUAACUCGGGGAUAGCCUUUCGAAAGAAAGAUUAAUACCCGAUAGUAUAAUCAGACCGCAUGGUUUGAUUAUUAAAGAAUUUCGGUUAUCGAUGGGGAUGCGUUCCAUUAGGCAGUUGGUGAGGUAACGGCUCACCAAACCUUCGAUGGAUAGGGGUUCUGAGAGGAAGGUCCCCCACAUUGGAACUGAGACACGGUCCAAACUCCUACGGGAGGCAGCAGUGAGGAAUAUUGGUCAAUGGGCGCAGGCCUGAACCAGCCAAGUAGCGUGAAGGAUGACUGCCCUAUGGGUUGUAAACUUCUUUUAUAUGGGAAUAAAGUUUUCCACGUGUGGAAUUUUGUAUGUACCAUAUGAAUAAGGAUCGGCUAACUCCGUGCCAGCAGCCGCGGUAAUACGGAGGAUCCGAGCGUUAUCCGGAUUUAUUGGGUUUAAAGGGAGCGUAGGUGGACAGUUAAGUCAGUUGUGAAAGUUUGCGGCUCAACCGUAAAAUUGCAGUUGAUACUGGCUGUCUUGAGUACAGUAGAGGUGGGCGGAAUUCGUGGUGUAGCGGUGAAAUGCUUAGAUAUCACGAAGAACUCCGAUUGCGAAGGCAGCUCACUGGACUGCAACUGACACUGAUGCUCGAAAGUGUGGGUAUCAAACAGGAUUAGAUACCCUGGUAGUCCACACAGUAAACGAUGAAUACUCGCUGUUUGCGAUAUACAGUAAGCGGCCAAGCGAAAGCAUUAAGUAUUCCACCUGGGGAGUACGCCGGCAACGGUGAAACUCAAAGGAAUUGACGGGGGCCCGCACAAGCGGAGGAACAUGUGGUUUAAUUCGAUGAUACGCGAGGAACCUUACCCGGGCUUAAAUUGCAUUUGAAUAUAUUGGAAACAGUAUAGCCGUAAGGCAAAUGUGAAGGUGCUGCAUGGUUGUCGUCAGCUCGUGCCGUGAGGUGUCGGCUUAAGUGCCAUAACGAGCGCAACCCUUAUCUUUAGUUACUAACAGGUCAUGCUGAGGACUCUAGAGAGACUGCCGUCGUAAGAUGUGAGGAAGGUGGGGAUGACGUCAAAUCAGCACGGCCCUUACGUCCGGGGCUACACACGUGUUACAAUGGGGGGUACAGAAGGCAGCUACCUGGUGACAGGAUGCUAAUCCCAAAAGCCUCUCUCAGUUCGGAUCGAAGUCUGCAACCCGACUUCGUGAAGCUGGAUUCGCUAGUAAUCGCGCAUCAGCCAUGGCGCGGUGAAUACGUUCCCGGGCCUUGUACACACCGCCCGUCAAGCCAUGAAAGCCGGGGGUACCUGAAGUACGUAACCGCAAGGAGCGUCCUAGGGUAAAACUGGUAAUUGGGGCU